AGGCUACCUCGGGGUCAGCCCUGGAUUAGACAGAGAUCCCUACAUGGCAUGAGUGUGGAGUGCAAAGCUCAAGAGGAAGUCCAGUUCAGGAUGUCCAUCCAUUCAAAGAGAGGAGAGAGCGAGAGAGAGAGACAGAGAGAGAGAGAGAGUAAAUUCAUCUUCCCGCACUUUGCUUCUCCACUCCAUUAACCACAGGACGGCUUCUGGGAUGGUGAGGCCCGGCCGGGCUGGCUGAGAGCUACGGUGGCAAAGUGCUGCCACUGGAGAGUCCCCGGACUCGAGGAGCAGCUGGGGAGGCGCAGAAUGGAAUGUCUGGGCAGCAGAUGGACGGGGGAGGGCACAAGGAAUCGUGAGACUUGAGAGCAAACCCAGAGGUGGUUGUUAGAAUGACUUCUCUCCCAUAGAUAAAAAGCUUUUCUGUAA